rnacentral:lncRNA from 1 species
AGGGGGAGGAGGGGGAGGAGGGUCACGUGACCCCUGACUACUUGAAGCCACUCUCUGUCUUCAGGGAGAAUCACACACAAGUCAUUUCUUGGAAGAGACUUCUGUCGGGAGGAAACACAGUCUUUUUGCUCUGCCCAUCUUGGGUUCUGUGGCUGAGGCCCUGCACACUACGCAGACAAGCAAGGCCGGCAAGAGGAAGAGGAACACAAGUUUACGACCAUGUACGUCAAGCAUGCCCAGCGGAACUGGGCAGUUCAGCAGCACUGAGCUGCAGUUCUUGAGAACAGAGGAGUCCUUGAGAUGAAGUCCACGUUCAGCAUGGCCUUCUUUGGAAAGGAGAAAAAGACGGAAUGGACACCCAACAAGGGACGAAUACCAACUACUGUACCAUUUUUUCCUAACUUCCAGUUAAGCGUCUCUGAGCACCCAGGCCCAGCACUGGGACUCCUCUGGUUUUAUAGGCAUCAGGAAGUCCCGUUUGCCAAAAAGUAGAAACGACACAAUGCCCAUCGCCUGAGGAACGGACAAAAUGUGGUCUACCCUAGGACGGAAAUUGUGCCAUCACAGAAGGGUGCGGAGCCCACACCGGCCACAGCACAGAUGGACCUUGAAAACCUGAUGCUCAGCGUAAGAAGCCAGACACAAAAGGCUGCAUUAUACGGUUCAUAAGCAGGAAAUGCCCAGAAUAAAUACAUCCAGAGGGAUAGAAAAUAGAUUCCUGUGUUUCCAGGGGCUGGUGGGGGUGGGGGGUGACGGCUAAUGAGGUUUCUUCGGGCGAUGACAAAAAUGUUCUGGGAUGAGUGGGGACGGUCCUGUACCCAUGUGAAUACACCAAAAGCCACUCAGUUGUACGGUUUAAAGAGGUGAAUUUUAUGCUAUAUGAGUUCUAUCUCAC